rnacentral:rRNA from 1 species
GACUUAGUGGCGAACGGGUGCGUAACACGUGAGAAAUCUGCCCCGGACUUCGGAAUAACAGUUGGAAACGACUGCUAAUACCGGAUGCCUUCAUUUGACCGCAUGGUUGUUUGAAGAAAGAUUUAUCGGUUUGGGAGGAUCUCGCGGCCUAUCAGCUUGUUGGAGAGGUAACGGCUCACCAAGGCUUCGACGGGUAGCUGGUCUGAGAGGAUGAUCAGCCACACUGGAACUGAGACACGGUCCAGACUCCUACGGGAGGCAGCAGUGGGGAAUCUUGCACAAUGGGCGCAAGCCUGAUGCAGCGAUGCCGCGUGCGGGAAGAAGGCCUUAGGGUUGUAAACCGCUUUCAGGAGGGAAGAAAAUGACGGUACCUCCAGAAGAAGGUGCGGCCAACUACGUGCCAGCAGCCGCGGUGACACGUAGGCACCAAGCGUUAUCCGGAUUUAUUGGGCGUAAAGAGCUCGUAGGCGGUUUGGUAAGUCGGGUGUGAAAACUCUGGGCUCAACCCAGAGAGGCCACUCGAUACUGCUAUGACUAGAGUACGG